rnacentral:rRNA from 1 species
AUUGAUCCCGUCGGACCCCACUGCUAUCGAGAUGGGACUAAAGUAUGCUAGUCGAACGACCAGAACUAUGUCUGGAAGUGGCACACUGCUCAGUAACACGUAGCUAACCUACCCUUAGGACGUGGAUACCCCCGAGAAAUUGGGGUUAAUCCGCGAUAGGUGUAAUGUCCUGGAAUGGUAUUACGCCUAAAGGUGUAUCAUACAUGUUUGAUAUACGCCUAAGGAUGGGGCUGCGGCCGAUCAGGCUGUUGGUGAGGUAAUGGCUCACCAAACCUUCGACCGGUACGGGCCAUGAGAGUGGUAGCCCGGAGAUGGACACUGAGACAAGGGUCCAGGCCCUAAGGGGCGCAGCAACCGCGAAACCUCCACAAUGCACUCACGUGCGAUGGGGCUAUCUCGAGUGCCACCUGAUGAAGGUGGCUUUUCCUAGGUCUUCAAAGCCUUGGGAAUAAGAGGGGGGCAAGACUGGUGUCAGCCGCCGCGGUAACACCAGCCCCUCGAGUGGUGGGGAUGAUUAUUUGGCCUAAAGCGUCCGUAGCCGGCCGAGCAAGUCUUCCGUUAAAUCCAGCGUCUCAAGCGUUGACUGCGGGAGAUACUACACGGCUAGAGAGUGGGAGAGGUCAGCGGUAUUCUGGGGGUAGGGGCGAAAUCCUUUGAUCCCCGGAGGACCACCAGUGGCGAAGGCUGCUGACUAGAACACGUCUGACGGUCAGGGACGAAAGCUGGGGUAGCGAACCGGAUUAGAUACCCGGGUAGUCCCAGCCGUAAACGAUGCAUGCUAGGUGUUGGGUUGGCCACGAGCCACCCCAGUGCCGCAGGGAAGCCGUUAAGCAUGCCGCCUGGGAAGUACGAUCGCAAGAUUGAAACUUAAAGGAAUUGGCGGGGGAGCACCACCAGGCGUGAAGCCUGCUGUUUAAUUGGAGUCAACGCCGGGAACCUUACCGGGAGCGACAGCAGAAUGAAGGCCAGAUUGAAGAUCUUGCCAGACGAGCUGAGAGGAGGUGCAUGGCCGUCGCCAGUUCGUGCCGUGAGGUGUUCUCUUAGGUGAGAUAACGAACGAGACCCGUGCCACAUGUUGCCACCAGUAUCUAAAGGAUAGCUGAGCACUCUUGUGGGACCGCAGCCGAUAAGGCUGAGGAAGGUACGGGCAACGGCAGGUCAGUAUGCCCCGAAUCUCCCGGGCCACACGCGGGCUGCAAUGGUACAGACAGAGGGCUGCCACCCCGAAAGGGGGAGCCAAUCCCUAAACUGUACCUCAGUUGGGAUCGAGGGUUGCAACCCACCCUCGUGAACAUGGAAUGCCUAGUAACCGCCAGUCAUCAUCUGGCGGUGAAUACGUCCCUGCUCCUUGCACACACUGCCCGUCGAACCACCCGAAUGAGGUUUGGGUGAGGAAUGGUCGAAUGUUGGCCGUUUCGAACCUGGGCCUCGUAAGGAGGGUUAAGUCGUAACAAGGUG